rnacentral:rRNA from 2 species
AACGAACGCUGGCGGCAGGCUUAACACAUGCAAGUCGAACGAGAAGCUUGGCUUCGGCCAAGUGGAAAGUGGCAGACGGGUGAGUAACGCGUGGGAACGUACCCUUUGGUUCGGAACAACUCCGGGAAACUGGAGCUAAUACCGGAUGUGCCCUUCGGGGGAAAGAUUUAUCGCCAUAGGAUCGGCCCGCGUCGGAUUAGCUUGUUGGUGGGGUAACGGCCUACCAAGGCUAUGAUCCGUAGCUGGUCUGAGAGGAUGAUCAGCCACACUGGGACUGAGACACGGCCCAGACUCCUACGGGAGGCAGCAGUGGGGAAUAUUGGACAAUGGGCGCAAGCCUGAUCCAGCCAUGCCGCGUGAGUGAUGAAGGCCCUAGGGUUGUAAAGCUCUUUCGCCAGGGACGAUAAUGACGGUACCUGGAUAAGAAGCCCCGGCUAACUUCG